UGUCUGCAGUCCCCACGCUCUCCAAAAUCAAUCUCGGAGAGCAAGGCAGUGUUUUGCUGAGAUUAAGCAGAUUUGCAAAUUAGGAAGAUUAAAUGGAAAUGUAAUGAAAUGAAAAUUAAAUGUCCUUCUAUUUUUUUAUUAUUAUUUUUUAUUUUUAUUAUUUUUUUGAGAGAGACAGAGACAGAGACAGAGAGGAAGGAAGGAAAAAAAAAGGAAAAAUCGCCCUUUCCUGGGAGGUGUCUUUUGAGUGAUCCCCCAAAACGCCUUUCCCGGAGCAGCUCCCUGUCAAACUACACGCGCUCCCGUCCGGAGGGACUGAAAAGUGAUUCAAACUCUCCGGGAAGCACAGACAUUUUUAAUUCCAUCUGAUGCAGCAGCUCGGAAAGCAGCGAGAUCAGCCACCGGGGCUGCAAAGGAGGCUCUCUGCCUCCUCAAAUCCCCCAAAAGCAGAGCGGUUUUACUCAUCAAGGAAACAGCCGAGAAAAAGAAGGAUCGGAGGCACUCACCAGAGCGUAGACCGAGCUCAGCACGGAGCAGCAGAGGAUCAAACCCAGGCUGUGAUAAACCAGAUAUGAUCCCAUAUCCAAGGGGCUCCUUCCAGCAUCCACGCUCUCUCGGGGAAGUUGGAGGACGGAGAGGUCUUCCAGCGCUCCGCUUGCAGAUGAUUUCUCCUUCCCUCCCUCCAACCUCCCCCCCCCUCCACCUCACUCUCCAGAACCGGUGUUUGUUUGUUUGUCUGUUUGUUUGUUUGUUUGUUUUAGCCGGAAAGGCACAUGACGAGAAAGCCCGGUCCUUUGCUUCGCUUUCUCAUGGCUGGAGAUGCGGGCAGCUCCCGAAAGGCAGCGGAGGAGCCCAUGCGAAGAAGCGGAGCGACUUCGGCUUCGCUCAGCGCCGCAGCCCCCGGUGCUGGUUGUUUUCCGCGUGCAUCUGUCUCAGAGCAGAAAAAUCACAUCCAUAUGUCAAAGCCGCGCUCUUCUGUUUCCUUUUUAUGAGGCAGUGGGAAGUUCAAAUAAUUUCUUUGUCAAACGCAAACACACAGAAAGAGGCAGAGAGGGAGGGAGGGAGGGAGAAAGGCGAGAGAGGGGUGGAAGGGGUGGGAGAUCGGAGAGGGUGGGGGAGGCUUUAAACCACGGCUUUAUUUUUAGAUCCAGUAAUUUUAUCUUUUGGGUUUCGGAGGGGUUUGGAAAGAAAGAGAGAGAGGGAAAAAAAAAAAAAAAAGCCUUUUUUUUUCUUUUAAUUCUUUUUCUCCACUUUCGCCACACGAACGGCUCUCAGAGCAGAAAGUUACGGGGAAAAAAAAUAGCGAAAACUUGGAGAUAUUUUCCCUCCUCAUUUACUUUUUCUUCGCAAACAGCGGUGCUUUUGGGGGGGACCUUUUCCUCCUUUUUUUUUUUUUUUUUUUCCUUGCUGGUGUAUCGCCGCGCGUUUCGCCUCCACAAUAGGUUUAUUCUCCAGCCCUCCGGGUCGAAGUGUGUUUCAGUUACAAAUCGGGAUUUUUUCGCUCCUCUCUCCCCUCUCUGCCUCAGAGGAUCUGCAGUUUCAAAAAGCCGAUUGAACACGGCGUGAAAGCGUGAGGCUGACGACUCCCCCGCCUCCUACCGCCACUCUCUCUAGUCCUCGUUCCGUGCCCCGCAAGGAGGAGCCCCCCGCGGAACCCCUGGCGCAUCGCAUCCCCGCUUUCCCCCCCUCAUGUCCCCAGCACCUCGCACCCCUCGUGGAUGUCACCAGCAUCGCAGUUUCAAGGCUGGGGAUGGUGCUCCCAGCUCAGCCGGGCGCUUUCAUUCAUAAAAUGGCAAGAUUGUAUCCAUGAAUGUGUGUAUAAUGAACCCAGAAGGAAUGCAGCACUAAAAGAAGCCUUUGUAAUGUUGCUAUUUUAAGGAGACCCUUGGGUAUGGCACGUGUUGAACUGAGUUUCUCCAACAUCUUACAACAAACCAAAAUGUUUAGAUCCUCCUACUGAUGUAAGACAGCAUAAAAAAAAUACAUAAUCAAUCUAAACUGGCUAAGGUUUUGACCAGGAAUUAUUGCUCCUGUGAAUUGGCUCUGUAUUGUAGCUAACUUUUACACAGCCUAAUAAUAAACAUCUCCUCCUCCCAGCUGGGUGAAUGUUUCCCCUCUGCUGGAGAUCAGGUCCCAGUCUGGAUAAAACACCUCUUGUCCUUUCUCUCCUCGGUCACUCAGGUUCAGUGAAACAUCAUGACUUACAUCAGCCAAAGCCUUUGAUCAGGGAGGGAAAGGUCUGACAUGGAUGGGGUUGGCAGCCACGCUGCAAGAAUCCCUCAUUGUGCAAGAAGCCAGUCCAAUGACCGACUGUCACCAAGGGUGAGACAGCCUUUUCUGCUCUGUUUGCUCUGUUUUCACUUGGCUAUUGCUGGCGUUUUGUUUGCAAAAUCAAGGCCAAAAUAUACAAGAAGCAGCUUCGAACAUGUUGGGUUUGUGCAUUAAGCCAGAUAGCCAUCAUGAAUUUCUGGCCAUUUUUGUUGUAUGUGUUGUAAAGAGCAGAAUUUUGCUGUCAGCAUUUUGUUUUCACAUGGUCAGAGAGGAGAAGGAGUAUAAUAGAGGUCCAAUUGACACUGUUUACACAAAGAUGAAGUCGUAACUCUUGGCUGAGAUGACUGUGGAAGUGGUGUGUGAUGGCUUCUUUGUUGGCUCUUUAAGAAAACAUCUGCUCUGGAUCUCGUGGACAAAAUCUAGGGUGAAAAAUUCUCUCAUUGCAAAAUGAGAAGCCGGAUGAAAAGCCCAGAGAAGCUGUGGGUGCUCCAUCUCUGGAGGUGCUCAAGGCCAGGUUGGAUGGGGCCCUGGGCUGCCUGAUCUGGAAGGUGGUAAUCCUGCCCAUGGCCCCGGGUUGGGGCUGGAUGACCUUUGAGGAUGUUUCCAGCCUAGGCCGUUCUAUGAUUCUAUGAGUUUCUCCAAUAGCAUCCAGCACUCAAGGAACAGGGCUGCUUUGGAAAUGUAUGUCAGAAUAAGAAAAAUACAUUUUUUGUACUCACACAUUGAACAGCGAAUGAAUGCUCAAGAAGAAUGAGGGUGAGAAUUGAAUCCAUUAAAACACUUUCUGGGACAAUAUUUUUGCUUUCAGCAGCUUUCUCUUCUGCUUUGCUUCAAUUCCUUCUAAACUCUGCUCCCCUUCCUCCAGGUGGUAUGAAAUAAAAAACAGUAAUAAAUAGAUUUUUCUAUAUAGGAAAAAAAUCAAAAACAAAUAAAAAUAUAUUUUUAAAAAUUUAGAUUUCUCUGUAAAGACUCUUCAUUAAGUACACAGAAAUGCUUGUGAUAUGUGGCCAUAGAUGGGCUGUACGCCUCUUCUAAUGCCCUGCAGUAUGGUUUACAAGGUGACUCAGUAACUGGGGCGAAGUCAUCGUGGUGGGUUUGGGUGCCCUACAUGAGAAGACGCAGAAAAUGUGUCAGAAAAAGGAUCACAGACCUGAAAAUGGUUUGGGAGAAGAGAGAGAUGAGGCGUGUGGAGUUGAGGUCUUGGGUUAAGGCAACAAAGGAGUGUUGGAGGUGACAGAUGAACCCAAAGGCAUUUUGCAUCUUAAGCAGGCCAGAUGGGUUAGCAAAGUCACCAGUAGAACACAAUUGUCAGUGGCUCCAUACAGUGACCUUUAGCUGAAACAAAGCUAUACAAAAGGAGCUCAGGGCAUGCAAGUAGGUGAAGGAAAAUCCUCAUCAGCAAUAGGCUUGGCAUCCAUUUGGUUGUGUUUUCAUGCAGACAAGGUGGGGCAGACAGGCUCUACACAGCAACACGUGCUCUUGCCUUAUCCCAUCUCUGUUGUUCUCCUUGCUGUAGGCUGAUGCUUUGGACCCAGAAAGACACAAGUGGGAUGGAGAUCAGAGCCCUGGGCUUUUCCCCGCAGACCAGCAACUGGUGCCAUUUCUGGCUGAUUCUCUACUUUUCUCUUCCUAGUGAGGGUCUUUUGUUAUUUAUCAGCUCCUUUCAAAGCAACAGCCUGAGAGAUUUCACAAUACUUUUCACAUAUGGUUACUCAGCCUGGGGCUCUCCACAGCUUAGCUGUUUCAGUGAUAUUUGCACAGCACUGAGCAACAGCAUUCCUGACCUGCAGGAGAAGUGAGUGCCUCAAACCUCCUUUUCUCCAUAUACACAAGAUCUUUUUUUGCUCUUAAAAAACCCCAGACCCCUCUCCCCAUCCCUGCCAGUUGCACGGCAGACUGGAUGUCCCUGGCAGCACACUUGGGCUUGCAUCCAUUUUUCUUCUUUGUGUGUGUGUGCGUUGUCAUCCAAUGCAUGGCCAGAACCAAAGGAAAACUCAUGUGUGUGUUGUCAUCCAAUGCAUGGCCAGAACCAAAGGCAAACUCCAUUUGGGAGGUGAGCAAGGAAAACCCCUCCAAAACAGCCAGGAGCUGAAAAGAUUUGGCAAGCUUUGCAGGAGAAAACUGCCAGCAGGGAAAGACGAGGUGGAGGCAUUACUCUGACAGAAGAAGCUCUGAUUAGCAGAUUAUCACUUAAGUGAUGUUGAUCCCAGCCACGCUGCCUUCCAAAUGAGCCCUUUCACAGCUGCCAGCUGCACCACGGAGUCGUGAAUGUAAAUGAGUGGGCCAGAUCCUCUGCUGGCAUCCAUCGACGUGGCUUUGAUGGACCAUCCUGGAUCUACAACAGCCGGAGGAGUGUGGCUGUCGUGGGAGCCUGACUUGCUAUGCAGAUUUCUUUGAGAGCCUGUGGGAAAGGGCCUGAAGCUGGAUGUACUGCAGGAUAGGGCAGCAUCAACUGCACAGCUGGAGGGACCCUUGAGACUUUGACUUUUGCUGCCAAACAAAGCCAUCUUUUUGCUGAGCUUGUAAACUGUUCCCUGGUACCGUACGCCAGCAUAUAGCAUCCUGCCCUCAUAAAGCUCUACUUAUCUCCAUCCAACUUCUUGGGCUGAGCGUGUGGGAAGCAUGCAUACUUGACCUCUGGCCACGUCCAUCCAAUCUGACAGACUGGUCUUCGGAGAAUGGUGACCAAGAAUAAGCUCCAUGUCCCACAUGCCACCUGUUCAUCUGCACCGCUCCCUCUCCAGCAGCUCAUGGGCCAUGCCCAGCCUAUGUGUGACACCUCUCUGGCUGCUCAGAUGGAAAGUAAGAGCUUGGAGAGUGAGGACAGCAUGGAGUUAUGGAAGACAUGGCUACAAGAGCAUUCUUUCUCCAUCUCCAUGUGCUUCUGAAGGACCAGUCUGAUUCUGGCUCCUGCCAAGUUAGGAUAUGCUAUGAUUCUGUGAACACUUUUUGCAGCAAGUCAGCCAUAAGAAACAACAUACUCUCAGACAAUCAAGCCUCCAAAUUAAGGUGGGGAGACUUGUUGUGAAGGAGAUGGUUUUUUUUUUCCUACUGUAGAAGGGAUGUUCAAUGCUAUAGUGACAAGGAACAAUUCUUCAGCCUUAGACAGCAGAAAGAAGAAACAUAAAGAGACUGUACAGUUCUUGGGACACCGAGACAACUAUCUACGUGCUUUGUGGAAGCAGAGACAAGUAUGAGAUUUGGCUUUCUGGGCUAUGAGGGCACACAGCUGGCUCACAUCCAGCUCCCAUCCACCAUUUAGAUAAGAUACUAUUGCUUUUAAUAAAGACAAGUCAAAGAUCUUCUCCUAAGUGCUCUUAAAGAACUCCAGCAUUGUGUCUACAAUAAUCCAUCCGCCUUAAAGGAUCCAGCAGUACAUCACCACCAGUGGAUAUAAGAAGUAAUUAGUCAUCAUUUAGGGAAGUAAGAUUUAACAGUUAUUUUGUUGGCAGAAGUGCCGUGAUAAAAAUGGUACUCUGAAAGUUAUUUGGUAUUUCUCAUUGUUGCCAGAGUUCUGAACAUUUUGAUAGGAUGAACAUAGACUUCGGUAGGAAAGUUGUGGAUUUUUUCCCCUCCAUUUAGUAGAAAUAUAAAUGUUACAAAAUAAAUAAUGAUAGAAUAUAUGUGUAUAUAUUUUCAAUGCAUAUUUUAAAAUGCAUAUGAAAUGCAUUUUUUAAAAUAUUUUGUUCAAAUAUUUUUACUAAUGUUGUAUACCUUGCAUCUGUGAAGAGGGUUAUCCCUUAAACAUCCUUUCUUCAGACAGUACUGGGAUUCAUCCUCAGGCCCCGUUAUCUUGCUCUACGUUUCCUAGAGUCCAUCUAUAUAAUAAAUCAGAAUACUGCAUGGUUACACAUCGUAAUUAUUUUUUAAAAUUAUUUUUUAUUUUUUUGCUGAUUGGGGAAAUGGUGAAAACUGGUUUUUGCAUAUUUCAACAAUGUUACUCAGCCAAGUAAAAGAACAAGGGAGCAGAAUGGAAGAGAAAUGAAGAAAUGGAAGGAAGGAAGGAAGGAAGGAAGGAAGGAAGGAAGGAAGGAAGGAAGGAAGGAAGGAGGGAAGGAGGGAAGGAGGGAAGGAAGGAA
rnacentral:lncRNA from 1 species